GGAUGCGAUCAUACCAGCACUAAAGCACCGGAUCCCAUCAGAACUCCGAAGUUAAGCGUGCUUGGGCGAGGGUAGUACUAGGAUGGGUGACCUCCUGAGAAGUCCUCGUGUUGCAUUCC
rnacentral:rRNA from 1 species